GGGAAUGUGGCUUAGUGGUAGAGUGCUUGCCUAGCAUGUAUGAGGCCCUGGGUUCAAUUCCUCAGUACCA
rnacentral:tRNA from 1 species